rnacentral:rRNA from 1 species
AGCUCCAAUAGCGUAUAUUAAUUUUGUUGCAGUUAAAAAGCUCGUAGUUGGUCGUCUGGCGGGAGUGAUCGGUCCGGCUCUUUGAGCGGGUACUUGUGUCAUCUCCUGCCAUCAUUGAGGAGAGCCUAUCUGGCAUUAGGUUGUCGGGUAGGGGAUCUUCAUCCUUUACUGUGAAAAAAUUAGAGUGUUCAAAGCAGGCUUAUGCCAUUGAAUAUAUUAGCAUGGAAUAAUAAGAUAGGACUGUGGUACUAUUUUGUUGGUUUGUGUACCAUAGUAAUGAUUAAUAGGGAUAGUCGGGGGUAUUCGUAUUCCAUUGUCAGAGGUGAAAUUCUUGGAUUUAUGGAAGACGAACUACUGCGAAAGCAUUUACCAAGGAUGUUUUCAUUA